GGUGCUGCAUGGCUGUCGUCAGCUCGUGUCGUGAGAUGUUGGGUUAAGUCCCGCAACGAGCGCAACCCUUGUCAUUAAUUGCCAUCAUUUAGUUGGGCACUUUAAUGAGACUGCCGGUGACAAACCGGAGGAAGGUGGGGAUGACGUCAAGUCCUCAUGGCCCUUAUGGGUAGGGCUUCACACGUCAUACAAUGGUCGGUACAGAGGGUUGCCAAGCCGCGAGGUGGAGCCAAUCCCAGAAAGCCGAUCGUAGUCCGGAUCGCAGUCUGCAACUCGACUGCGUGAAGUCGGAAUCGCUAGUAAUCGCGGAUCAGCAUGUCGCGGUGAAUACGUUCCCGGGUCUUGUACACACCGCCCGUCACACCAUGGGAGUGGGUUCUACCAGAAGUAGUUAGCCUAACCGUAAGGAGGGCGAUUACCACGGUAGGAUUCAUGACUGGGGUGAAGUCGUAACAAGGUA
rnacentral:rRNA from 1 species